AUUAUUUAUGAAGCUAAACAUUGUAAGUAAAUGUUAAUUAUGAAAGCAAAAAAUUAUGGCGGUAUCUUAAGCUUUUCAGAGGAAUUUGCUCUAUAAUGGAUAAAACGCCUAAACCUUACUUUGACUAGUAAAAUCAAUUUGUAUACCACUAUUAAAAUAAUAACAUACAACUAUUAUUUCAAUAUAAUUUAUAUAAAAAAUUAAGUCAAGGUGCAGUAAAAGUCAAUGAAUGAAGUGAAUUACAUUUCUUUUUAGAAAAGAAAAAUGAAAAGUAAAUUAGGAUUUGAAAGUAAAAUUAAAAUAAAAUGUUAAUUUGAAUUAAGCUCUAAGAUAUGUAC
rnacentral:rRNA from 1 species